rnacentral:lncRNA from 1 species
CCUGGAUUCAAAUCUUGCACUCUGCCACAUAUCAGGGGCUUCUUGACUACCCUCUCAUCAGUGGAUAUGAAAAGAAGACAAUGGAGACCAAGUAGAGGAUUUCUUCAGACACAGAUGAGGUCUUUGGAUGUUUCCAGAGCCCUGUGGGAAGGCAGAAGGAGGCCAAAGGGAUGACCCUCAUCCUACUGAGGAUUCCUGAAAGCAGA